GCUGUGAUGGCUGAGUGGUUAAGGCUUUGGACUCAAAAUCCAAUAGGGUUUCCCUGUGCAGGUUCAAAUCCUGCACAUGAUG
rnacentral:tRNA from 1 species